AAAGGUGCCAAAGAUGACUUGACACAGGUGAGCUCGACUUUGGAGAACAGUGAGUUAUCAACCAGCACCAACAGUUUAACCGACAACAAAUCAUUAAAGGUUACGGACAAAGCGGCCAUGUUUGAAGGGGUCCUGA